UCUUGAUCGAAUCCUGGAUUCAGUGCAUCCCUACUUAAAAUAGACUUGGUUUAUUAUGGAGCAAAAAUUUUAACUUUUAAAUACAAUAAUGGAACAUGAACGUAACAUGCUUCUUCCUCUCUGUUCCUGAAGGUUCCACGUGAAGACUUUGAGAAAAUCGAGUCCCUGAAUGUGGUAAGUUUUACAACUUUUUUCAAUGGCAGAUUGUUGAGGACAUAUGGCAUCUUCUUUCCAAAUACGUGGAAAAGAUGAUUCGAGAGAGGAUUCAGCCUGACAUACGCGCCAAAAGCAAUUAUCUUGCCUCGUUCCGUUUCAUCAAUAUCGAUUUUGGCACGAAGGUAAUGAUCUCUUUCUGUACUUGGGUUAUUCCUCUUCUUGUAAAUAGAUUUCUUGUAACACCCCAAUCUUUAUGCUCAGCCCCCACAGGUAAAGUCUUGGAAAACUCAUGCGGAUCCAGAAAAAAAGCAAAUAAUGUUGGAUCUCGAUAUCAGUUAUAAUGCCGACAUAAAGGUGGAUGCUGGUUUUACGGAAAAAACCCCCAUAGCCGGCAUCAAAUCUAUAAAGCUGGAGGGAAUCUUGCGGGUAAUUUUGGCACCGCUGAUAGAGGACUCACCCAUAUUUGGAGCACUGACCGUUUAUUUCCCUCACCGUCCGGUAAGUUAAGAUUUGGAGCUGGUUCGAUGAAGGUAGAAUUCAUAUGUAGUUAGGAAACCGUAGAUAUUUCUAGUUCUGUAGUCUGAACUCUUCAAUGUGACUGUGCAUUUAUUGCAGGUAUUGGAAC